AUGUCAUUGAACCUUUCCUGAUCCCUCACCUGAAAGAUGCAUUACAAGCAAACUUUUGUCACGCUGCACUUUGUCGUUAUAUGCAUUUACUGAUGUGGGGGGCGGGGCUCCAACAGGCUCUGAGGAACGACUUCGUUCUUGUGGGUAAAGAGGACAAAGAGGAUCAACAGGAAGCUUUCAUCAAGAAACUGGAGGAACAAAAGUUUGAAGUUGUGAGAAUCAAGCAUGGUAAAAAAAACCUUUAUGGCCUGAGAGCGCCAGAUGUAGCUGUGCUGAAUGUUCUGUGUGAAGUGUCCGGCGUGUGCAGCAUUGAAGGUUUGAAGGGCACCAGCAGGGAAACCAGGUACACCACACACAUGUACACACACACACAUGUACACAGACACACACAUUUACACAGACACACACAUGUACAGACACACCCCUGUACACCACACACACACAUGUACACAGACACAGAAAAAAAAAUAAAAUUUAACCUCACUAUCAUUGAAUUUCAUAAAUGUCAAGCUGUAUAUAAUCUGUGCACUCCCCAAACUACUGUACUUCGUUAUUAACUAUGUUAUAUAUAUAUAUA